AAAAUAAAUAGAAUGGACUUUAGUGCCAUGUUCAACAAAACAACCACGAGGUGCCAAACCACACUACAAUUUUGAAAUAUGCAUACCCCCCAAAAUAACUGCAUGUCCACGGGCACCAAACCGCAUGCCCCCACGCACCGAACCACACAAUGCCGACGACAAGCUGCAUGGCCACGAUUUUGAGAACUACACACCAAAAGACAAAAUUGAUGAACAGUUGCAGUGCACAAGGGAAGAGGAUGGGCGCAUCAAAAACUAAUUGAAUAUGGGUCGGAGCAGGGGAGAGUACCUCCGACUCCGUCGACAGAGCCCCCUCACGCACGUUGUCGCACGGCUGCCUCGGCAGAUGUUGGGAUGGAGGCGCCGUCCGUCAAAGUGUCGAGCAUGGUUGUUGGAUCCGGCUGGAUAGGCCCGCCGUGACCGUCACCCUCCUUCCCACAACUCAAACCACGAGCUCUCCACACGGCGAACAAAAUUAUAUCUGACACCCAACCACACCGCAUCGAGAGCACACACGAACUGCAAGGAAAACAAAAACAUGUCUGGGUCAUAGCACGCACCAUCAGACUGCGUGGCACGCCAAAACGUGCUGCAUGCACCGCACUACAUGAACGCGCCAUCGGACUGUACGGGAUGGCCGGCCGAACUGCACGAGUUGAGGUGGAGCUCCUCCUUCAUUUUCCACGGCGGCAACUGCGCGUCAGAGUGUCAGUAGUGCCCGAUGCAGGGGACAACGAGAGAGCUCCAGGGAGGGGAAUCCAUGAUGAGGAGCUUUCUAGGGGGCGUGGCUUGGCACUGGGGCGGCCGCCCCCGACGGGCCUUGGAUCCGGCGCAUCGGUCGGCCCUGGACGUGGUCAGCGAAGGCAGGAAUCGACGGAUCCCGCGGAUCGGCGCGUGGCGUUGUUGUACAUGGGUGGUCGCG
rnacentral:rRNA from 1 species